rnacentral:ncRNA from 1 species
UUAAAUUCUGCGAAAGGAAGAGUAAGAUUUAAGUUAUGUCUAAGCGAGUUGGGGACGGUGUAAGCCUAAUACAUAAAUAUAUCUGAAAAGAGACCUUGAGAAUCUAUUUGAAAUGAGUAAAAUUAGACGUAUUUCCUACGUUAUAGGAAUAGAGUGAGUAUAUAACUUUUAGUAUAUAUACUAAUUAGAGUGGCAACACGGGAUUAAGAUCUCGUCUCUUUU